rnacentral:rRNA from 1 species
UACGAAGGGGGCUAGCGUUGCUCGGAAUCACUGGGCGUAAAGCGCACGUAGGCGGAUUGCUAAGUCAGGGGUGAAAUCCUGGAGCUCAACUCCAGAACUGCCUUUGAUACUGGCGAGCUUGAGUUCGGGAGAGGUGAGUGGAACUGCGAGUGUAGAGGUGAAAUUCGUAGAUAUUCGCAAGAACACCAGUGGCGAAGGCGGCGGACUGGCGCGAUACUGACACUGAGGUGCGCAAGCGUGGGGAGCAAACAGG